rnacentral:rRNA from 1 species
GACGAACGCUGGCGGCGUGCUUAACACAUGCAAGUCGAACGGAAAGGCCCUGCUUUUGUGGGGGGCUCGAGCGGCGAAAGGGUGAGUAACACGUCAGUAACCUGCCCUUGACUUUGGGAUAACUUCAGGAAACUGGGGCUAAUACCGGAAAGGAGCUCCUGCUGCAUGGUGGGGGUUGGAAAGUUUCGGCGGUUGGGGAUGGACUCGCGGCUUAUCAGCUUGUUGGUGGGGUAGUGGAUUACCAAGGCUUUGACGGGUAGCCGGCCUGAGAGGGUGACCGGCCACAUUGGGACUGAGAUACGGCCCAGACUCCUUCGGGAGGCAGCAGUGGGGGAUAUUGGACGAUGGGCGGCAGCCGGAUGCAGCAACUCCGCGUGCUAGAUGACGGCCUUCGGGUUGUAACCCGCUUUCGCCUGUGACGAAGCGUGAGUGACGGUAAUGGGUAAAGAAGCACCGGCUAACUACGUG